CGGGGCGCAGCAGGCGCGAAAACUUCACACUGUGCGAAAGCACGAUGAGGGAAUCCCAAGUGCUGGCUCGUAAGAGUCAGCUGUUUUUCUGUCUAGAAAACGGAGAGAGUAAGAGCUGGGUAAGACGGGUGCCAGCCGCCGCGGUAAUACCUGCAGCUCAAGUGGUGGCCGCUAUUAUUGGGCCUAAAACGUUCGUAGCCGGUCUAGUAAAUGCCUGGGUAAAUCAUACGGCUUAACCGUAYGAAUUCCGGGUAGACUGCUGGACUUGGGACUGGGAGAGGCUAGAGGUACUCCUGGGGUAGAGGUGAAAUUYUGUAAUCCUAGGGGGACGACCAGUGGCGAAGGCGUCUAGCUAGAACAGGUCUGACGGUGAGGAACGAAGCCCUGGGGCGCAAACGGGAUUAGAUACCCCGGUAGUCCAGGGUGUAAACGCUGCUUGCUUGAUGUUAGUCGGGCUCCGAGCCCGAUUAGUGUCGGAGAGAAGUUGUUAAGCAAGCUGCCUGGGGAGUACGGCCGCAAGACUGAAACUUAAAGGAAUAGGCGGGGGAGCACCGCAACGGGUGGAGCGUGCGGUUUAAUUGGAUUCAACGCCGGA
rnacentral:rRNA from 1 species